ACUGGCAUAAUAAUAGGCGUACUCUGGUGCAUGGUUACGUCGCAUUACUGUUGUUCAUAAAUCCAGUCUGUAGUAUCUAUAUUGAUUUUUGCAGUUGAGCAUACAAUCAUAACAAAAAAAAAACUGUACCUCUUUUUUCUUCAGUCUUGAAGAAUGAUACAAUGCGACACGAAGGACAUUCUUAGUAUGGCGGAGAGUGCGAUUCUGUGUCACUAGUUCUGUUGUCAAUACAAUCAAAACGCAAGCUUACACUUAAUUCACAAUGGGCAAGGGUGAAAGAAGAGGAAGGGCACGUGCCGGAAGACGUCAUCAUCGUAACCAUCAUCACCAUCGUCGUCGUCGUCAUCAUCAUCGCAGUGCGGUCAGAAUCAACAUGCCCCCAGCAGUACCAGGAAUGGAAAAGGAGAGACGGGUUUAUGUCCUUGCAUUCAUGCUGUCGAUAUUGUUCUGUGUUAUGGGAUUCAAUAUGACGAUAUCUGGCAUUAUUGGGAGUUCAGUAUUAUUAUAUGUUGGAAUACCGCUCGUAAUAUUAGGGGCAUUGUCGAUUGUUUGGACGGUCAAUCUUUACAAAAAACUUAAGCUGGCUGCUGAGGCAUCGCGGACAGUUCCUACGAUUCCGACUAAUACGACAGUCGUGCAAGCUGGUUAUAACCCACCGGCUGUUAUUACGGGCGUAGGUGGACCGAACGUCAUCACAGUCGGUCCAGCGACGGCCGAAGGUGGAAUAAGCAACCGUACUAUGUUUACUGUCUAUGGCAAUGGGCAGGGAUAUGCACUGUCGUCUUCGAUGCCCGAUGUUUCUGCCGGGAAUGCGACCGGUUAUUUUCCGACGGCGUCAUCUGAACAUCUAUCUGCCGUCAGCGGUAGUAGUGGUGUGCCGUAUCCGAUGCACUAUGCAGUUCAUCCUCACAAUGGGGUUGCCAUGCCCACGCAAUUCACAGGAUCUUUGAAUCAGAUGGAUCCUCCAAGCUAUACACAAUAUGGAUCACAGAGCACCGCAGCACCUAUGACGAGUCCAUCUUCGCCAAACGACACGGCUGUUGAAAUGGAACCGCCGCCACCCAGUUAUGAAGAUGCGGUUAAAGUGCAAAAUAAGGAGACUUCUUAAUCAAAUGAGAAUUUAAAGAACUAUUUUAGGCUGUGACGCCGGCAAUGGAAGAGGGGGGUGGGGGCGGGGAAGUCUAAUGCCAGAAGAUUGGUCUGUGUACUGGUCUGCCCCAGGUCCCGGCCACUUAUGCUGCUGUCGGCAACAUCAGGCUUUAGGCCCGUAUUAUAAUGUCCUGUCGGGUCCCUUGUCGGGCAAAUUCUGGCACUACCACUGAUUUUAGGCUUAUAACUUGACCUUGGAAGCUAAGAGAAGUAUGGCUCUGUGGUAAACGCAAAAUGUGGACCAAUUAAAUCAUCGGACGUAUUGAGGGUUAUUUUAUACGCCAUUAGGAAAGUCGCUUUAAUCAACCUUUUCUCUUCCCACCCAAUCGAUACUAAGUAGUUACGAAUAAGCCUACCAUGUGCAUAUUCUGCAACAUUAGGGAGAUAAUGAUAAUGACGUACAGUACACGUAUUCGUUACCGUAUCGUUUUCGUGAGGCUGCGAAACCUCCCCAUUAAUGUAUAAACGUUUCCCCUGAGAGCUGUGCUUGGCUCCGAGGUUUUGGAUUUGAUGAACAAACUAUCAAAUCCCAUAGAGGUUUUAAUAAUGUUUAUAAUAAUAUAAUAAAUAAAAUGUAUAUAAUAAAAUUAAGUCAUAGACUCUGAAAGGUAACUUUUGUAUUUCAAUUACAGUAUAUAAUAAUACUUUAUAAAUUAUGUAUAGCGCCCAUUUCUCAUGCUGUCUCUAUUCCCCUUUCUCUAUUCCCCUGAGAGCUGUGCUUGGCUCCGAGGUUUUGGAUUUGAUGAACAAACUAUCAAAUCCCAUAGAGGUUUUAAUAAUGUUUAUAUUAAUAUAAUAAAUAAAAUGUAUAUAAUAAAAUUAAGUCAUAGACUCUGAAAGGUAACUUUUGUAUUUCAAUUACAGUGUAUAAUAAUACUUUAUGAAUUAUGUAUAGCUCUGAUUUUUUAUGCUGUCUCUAUUCCCCUUUCGUUUAAAUCUCAUUAUAUUAGCCACUUCCCUUAUCUGACCUCUCUUUUUUACACUACCUCUCAUUACCAAUAGCCAUCUGAAAGAGAUAUUACAUGAAGCUUUAGAAAGGUUAUAUUUUUCAAAGUGUGUAUUUUGCAGGCUGUAACUCAAUUUGCAUAUCUUUAAGGUUGGGGUACGUCCCCACUAAGAAAUCAUUACGGAAAUGAUGUGUGGACUGAAGCCUAUUUUCCACAGGCGAAUUUAUUCGUUCGAAUGGGAAGCGUCGGUUCAUUCACAUUUCUAUACCUUUUGCGAAGCGAAAAAAUUCCCAACCAAUCAGACCUCAGGAAGCGAAAAACUCAAGGAACAGAAUUCGUUUAAUAACCCCUUUUACACUGCAAGAAAAAAAUUUUUUUUUUUUUUUUUUAAUCAAAAAUAGAAAGUUUGGCCGAUUGAAAUGUGGAUGCGGUUGCGCAUGAAUCGACGCUUUUUCGAUUCGCGCGAAUAAAUUCACCUAGUGGAAACCAGUCUUAUUAGACGUUCCACCGUCUAAUUAUCCAUAUGUUUUUCAAUCUAUAGUAUUUUGUCAUUUUGCUGAUAAUAUUUUGUGAAAUGAUGUAGCAGAAAAUCAAUAAAUUAUUUUUCUACAAUUGA
rnacentral:misc_RNA from 1 species